UACGUAUGGUGCAAGCGUUAUCCGGAUUUACUGGGUGUAAAGGGAGCGUAGGCGGCGCGUUAAGUCUGAUGUGAAAACCCGAGGCUCAACCACGGGAGUGCAUUGGAAACUGGCGGGCUGGAGUGCCGGAGAGGUAAGCGGAAUUCCUAGUGUAGCGGCGAAAUGCGUAGAUAUUAGGAGGAACACCAGUGGCGAAGGCGGCUUACUGGACGGCAACUGACGCUGAGGCUCGAAAGCGUGGGGAGCAAACAGG
rnacentral:rRNA from 1 species